UACAGAGGGUGCAAGCGUUAAUCGGAAUUACUGGGCGUAAAGCGUGCGUAGGCGGAUAUUUAAGUCGAAUGUGAAAUCCCCGGGCUUAACCUGGGAACUGCAUCCGAUACUGGAUAUCUGGAGUAUGGUAGAGGAAAGUGGAAUUCCCGGUGUAGCGGUGAAAUGCGUAGAUAUCGGGAGGAACAUCAGUGGCGAAGGCGACUUUCUGGACCAAUACUGACGCUGAGGCACGAAAGCGUGGGGAGCAAACAGG
rnacentral:rRNA from 1 species